CGUAGGGCGCAAGCGUUGUCCGGAAUUAUUGGGCGUAAAGAGCUUGUAGGUGGCUUGUCGCGUCUGCCGUGAAACCCGAGGCUCAACCUCGGGCGUGCGGUGGGUACGGGCAGGCUAGAGUGUGGUAGGGGAGACUGGAACUCCUGGUGUAGCGGUGAAAUGCGCAGAUAUCAGGAAGAACACCGAUGGCGAAGGCAGGUCUCUGGGCCAUUACUGACACUGAGAAGCGAAAGCAUGGGUAGCGAACAGGAUU
rnacentral:rRNA from 1 species